rnacentral:SRP_RNA from 1 species
CCGUGCAGCCGGGGUGGCAGCGGUGCCUUGUACCUGCAAUCCGCUUUAGCAGGGGUGAUGGUCUGUUGAGGGCAUAUGCCGGUAUGGCAGCCCUAUAUAAGUGAUGUUGAAAUCUGGGUCUUGCGCAAUGCGUGCCUGUGAACCGUGUCAGGGUGGGAACACAGCAGCACUAAGCGGGAAUUCGUAUGUGCCGCGAGGCUGCCUGGGUGGAGUUAACUGUAUAGGUAGCGCAUGUUGGGAUUGUUCGACACAGACCGCACGG